UACGUAGGUGACCAGCGUUGUCCGGAUUUACUGGGCGUAAAGAGCGCGCAGGCGGUCGUUCAAGUCGAGUGUGAAAGCCCCCGGCUCAACUGGGGAGGGUCACUCGAUACUGAUCGACUUGAAGGCAGGAGAGGGAAGCGGAAUUCCCGGUGUAGUGGUGAAAUGCGCAGAUAUCAGGAGGAACACCAAUGGCGAAGGCAGCUCGCUGGGACGGUACUGACGCUGAGGAGCGAAAGCGUGGGGAGCAAACAGG
rnacentral:rRNA from 1 species